UGCGGCCCAGGACCUGGCGCGGAGAGGGCCCACAGUGGACUUGGUGACACUGUAUGCCCUAACCGCUCAGCCCCUGGGUCCGGCA
ensembl:miRNA microRNA 675